CCUACGGGUGGCUGCAGUGAGGAAUAUUGGUCAAUGGGCGCGAGCCUGAACCAGCCAAGUAGCGUGAAGGAAGACUGCCCUACGUGUUGUAAACUUCUUUUAUCAAGGAAUAAAGUGAGGCACGUGUCCCUUUUUGUAUGUACUUUAUGAAUAAGGAUCGGCUAACUCCGUGCCAGCAGCCGCGGUAAUACGGAGGAUCCGAGCGUUAUCCGGAUUUAUUGGGUUUAAAGGGAGCGUAGGUGGGUUGUUAAGUCAGUUGUGAAAGUUCGCGGCUCAACCGUCACAUUGCAAUUGAUACUGGCAGUCUGGAGUAGAGUUGAGGUACGCGGAAUUCGUGGUGUAGCGGUGAAAUGCUUAGAUAUCACGAAGAACUCCGAUUGCGAAGGCAGCUUACUAAACUGCCACUGACAUUGAGGCUCGAAAGUGUGGGUAUCGAACAGGAUUAGAUACCCUAGUAGUC
rnacentral:rRNA from 1 species